AGCAGGUAGGCAAGUCAGCAGAAGGAAAGUGAGAUAAAAAGUCAGAUUACAACUGGGAUUGGGAGGAAGAAGCAAUAGCCCAUGGCUUUCCUGGAUUUAGUAACCUGAUGCUGCCACAUGACAUGGAUGCUAAAGCCAAACAAGAGCAAUAAGAGGUGUCUUAGUUUGACAAUGAGAUUUAAAAUCCAUCUGGAUCGUGCCAGCAGACCUGCAUAGAAGUCUGGGGGGAAAUUAACCAGAUUUAAUGUAAAACAACAGUAGGAGUUUCAUUAUUAAGUUAUUGCAAUACUUCAUUUU